rnacentral:rRNA from 1 species
GACGAACGCUGGCGGCGUGCUUAACACAUGCAAGUCGAGCGGUAAGGCUCCUUCGGGAGUACACGAGCGGCGAACGGGUGAGUAACACGUGAGCAAUCUGCCCUUCACUUUGGGAUAACUUCCGGAAACGGAAGCUAAUACCGAAUACGACCACUUCAGGCAUCUGAUGGUGGUGGAAAGUUCCGGCGGUGAAGGAUGAGCUCGCGGCCUAUCAGCUUGUUGGUGAGGUAACGGCCCACCAAGGCUUCGACGGGUAGCCGGCCUGAGAGGGUGACCGGCCACACUGGUACUGAGACACGGCCAAGACUCCUGCGGGAGGCAGCAGUGGGGAAUAGUGGACAAUGGGCGAAAGCCUGAUCCAGCAACGCCGCGUGAGGGAUGACUGCCUUGGGGUUGCAAACCUCUUUCAGCGGGGACGAAGCGAAAGUGACGGUACCCGCAGAAGAAGCACCGGCCAACUACGUGCCAGCCGCCGCCGUAAUAC